UACGUAGGGUGCAAGCGUUAAUCGGAAUUACUGGGCGUAAAGCGUGCGCAGGCGGUGAUGUAAGACAGGUGUGAAAUCCCCGGGCUAACCUGGGAACUGCAUUUGUGACUGCAUCGCUGGAGUGCGGCAGAGGGGGAUGGAAUUCCGCGUGUAGCAGUGAAAUGCGUAGAUAUGCGGAGGAACACCGAUGGCGAAGGCAAUCCCCUGGGCCUGCACUGACGCUCCAUGCACGAAAGCGUGGGGAGCAA
rnacentral:rRNA from 1 species